GCGGACGUAGCUCAAUCGGUGGAGCGUCAGUUUGUGGCACUGAAGGUCGCCAGUUCGAUCCUGGUCGUUCGCCCCA
rnacentral:tRNA from 20 species